CCUAGCGAUGAUGAUCAAAUCAUAACUUUCGUUCUUCCGAGAUUUUAAUCAUGCGGAGAAAUUAUGGAGACCUGAACUGAGCUUAA
rfam:Capsella rubella cultivar Monte Gargano unplaced genomic scaffold scaffold_1, whole genome shotgun sequence.